rnacentral:rRNA from 1 species
GAGAGAAGCUUGCUUCUCUUGAGAGCGGCGGACGGGUGAGUAAUGCCUAGGAAUCUGCCUGGUAGUGGGGGAUAACGUUCGGAAACGGACGCUAAUACCGCAUACGUCCUACGGGAGAAAGCAGGGGACCUUCGGGCCUUGCGCUAUCAGAUGAGCCUAGGUCGGAUUAGCUAGUUGGUGGGGUAAUGGCUCACCAAGGCGACGAUCCGUAACUGGUCUGAGAGGAUGAUCAGUCACACUGGAACUGAGACACGGUCCAGACUCCUACGGGAGGCAGCAGUGGGGAAUAUUGGACAAUGGGCGAAAGCCUGAUCCAGCCAUGCCGCGUGUGUGAAGAAGGUCUUCGGAUUGUAAAGCACUUUAAGUUGGGAGGAAGGGUUGUAGAUUAAUACUCUGCAAUUUUGACGUUACCGACAGAAUAAGCACCGGCUAACUCUGUGCCAGCAGCCGCGGUAAUACAGAGGGUGCAAGCGUUAAUCGGAAUUACUGGGCGUAAAGCGCGCGUAGGUGGUUUGUUAAGUUGGAUGUGAAAUCCCCGGGCUCAACCUGGGAACUGCAUUCAAAACUGA